rnacentral:rRNA from 1 species
UACGUAGGUCGCAAGCGUUGUCCGGAUUUACUGGGCGUAAAGAGUGUGUAGGCGGUGUUCUAAGUUUGUCGUGAAAUCUCCCGGCUUAACUGGGAGGGUGCGGCGAAAACUGGAAUGCUAGAGGAUGGGAGAGGUAAGCGGAAUUCCUGGUGUAGCGGUGAAAUGCGUAGAUAUCAGGAGGAACACCUGUGGUGUAGACAGCUUACUGGACCAUUUCUGACGCUGAGACACGAAAGCGUGGGUAGCAAACAGG